rnacentral:rRNA from 1 species
GACGAACGCUGGCGGCGUGCUUAACACAUGCAAGUCGAACGAAGUGGCGCACGGGUGAGUAACGCGUAAUCAACCUGCCCUUCAGUGGGGGACAACAGUUGGAAACGACUGCUAAUACCGCAUACUGAAGGAGGGGAUUGCGUCUGAUUGUCUAGUUGGGGGGGGAACGGCCCACCAAGGCGAUGAUCAGUAGCCGGUCUGUGAGGAUGAACCGCCACAUUGGGACUUAGGCACGGCCCCGACUCCUACGGGAGGCAGCAGUGGGGAAUCUUCCGCAAUGGACGGAAGUCUGACGGAGCAACGCCGCGUGAGUGAUGACGGCCUUCGGGUUGUAAAGCUCUGUUAAUCGGGACGCGGUACCGGAAUAGAAAGCCACGGCUAACUACAUGCCAGCAGCCGCGGUAAUUG